rnacentral:rRNA from 1 species
CAAUAGCGUAUAUUAAAGUUGUUGCAGUUAAAAAGCUCGUAGUUGGAUUUCUGGUGGGAGCGAUCGGUCUGGCGCUUAGCGCGAGUACUUGCAUCGUCUCCGGCCAUCCUUGGGGAGAGUCUGUCUGGCAUUAGGUUGUCGGGCAGAGGAUCCUCAUCGUUUACUGUGAAAAAAUUAGAGUGUUCAAAGCAGGCUUAUGCCGUUGAAUAUAUUAGCAUGGAAUAAUAAGAUAGGACUUUGGUACUAUUUUGUUGGUUUGCGCACCAAAGUAAUGAUUAAUAGGGACCGUUGGGGGUAUUCGUAUUCCGUUGUCAGAGGUGAAAUUCUUGGAUUUACGGAAGACGAACUACUGCGAAAGCAUUUACCAAGGAUGUUUUCAUUAA